GUUGAAAAGAACUUUGAAGAGAGAGUUCAAGAGUACGUGAAACGUUCAGGGUAAACCUGAGAAACCCAAAAGAUCGAAUGGGGAGAUUCAUCGUCAGCGGCGUUGGUUCCUUGUGGAUCGCGAUGGCCGGGACUUCGGUUCCGCGUCACGCGUCCGCUGNGGUAUGUCCGGCGUCGUCGGCGUGCACUUCUCCCCUAGUAGGACGUCGCGACCCGUUGGGUGCCGGCCUACGGCCCGGUUGGUCGACUGACGCGUCGCGUUCACGCGUGCACGCGUCAGACCACCGGUUGCCCGGCCGGCUGCCCGGCGGUAUAGAUCGCUAUAAAACGGUAUUGGGCCGCAUUAAGUGCGUUCUGGCUCGUCGGCAGGCUCGUCUCGCUCGGAUUUACGGACCUAGUGCCGUUGCCGGGCGCUUGGCGUGGCCGUUAGUCGACGAUGUCCUCGGACUGGCUCUUACAUUCGAACGGAUUUACCGGUCGGCGACGCUACUGCUUUGGGUACUUUCAGGACCCGUCUUGAAACACGGACCAAGGAGUCUAACAUGUGCGCGAGUCAUUGGGACUUGUUAAGCCUAAAGGCGCAAUGAAAGUGAAGGUCGACCCUAGCGUCGACCGAGGGAGGAUGGCUCGCGUCACGAUGCGAGCCCGCACUCCCGGGGCGUCUCGUGCUCAUUGCGAGCAGAGGCGCACCCAGAGCGUACACGUUGGGACCCGAAAGAUGGUGAACUAUGCCUGGUCAGGACGAAGUCAGGGGAAACCCUGAUGGAGGUCCGUAGCGAUUCUGACGUGCAAAUCGAUCGUCGGAACUGGGUAUAGGGGCGAAAGACUAAUCGAACCAUCUAGUAGCUGGUUCCCUCCGAAG
rnacentral:rRNA from 1 species